AAUAAUUUUUUCAGCACCUGUGAGAACUCAUUGCAUAUUAACAAACUCAAUAUAACUCAGAAAAUAAAGAUAAAAUGAAAUGUUAACAAUAAAUAUAUUAUAAUAUAUUCUGUUCCCAAGUCUAUCUGAGGUCUAUUCUACCCGCUGCUCUUUGAAAUUAAAAAUCUCGGCUGUGAAAAAAAAAAAACUCUUGAGAAUGCUGCAAAAGUUUCAAAACUAAAAUUCAUUAUUUGAGUUAUAAUAAUAAAGGUAUUUUCACUAGGGUGAAAGACAGGAAAACGUAUUUCAGAACCUUUUAAAGUUGGCCCGAGUUACGUUCGACACGACGAUGAGGACGUCGUAAUUGAUUACCGGGUAUGGUACUAUGAUAUAAUAAAUUUUAUGUCAAAAUGACAUUUGGGAUAUGACAUUUGGGAUAUUUUGAAUCUAUUGACUUUGUGGGUGUUCUAAAUUAAUCUCCAUUUGAUUACAAUCUAAGUUAUAUCUGCCAAACGUUGGCUGCAUUUUGCUGCAUUUUACUUGAACAGAAACAAAUAAUAAGACACCAAAAAAUGUGAAAGCGUUAGUUGAGUUUUAUAUUUAACAAAAGGUAAAGAAACAUAUUUACUUCGUUACGUUACGAAAUUACAAUACGAAUUCCUGUUUUCUGUAUUAUAUGUUUAUUGACUAAAAAACUGUUUGCAUUUAGCCCUUGGGUGUUGGUUUCGGUUGGCGAUUUCGUUCGCUGAAACCGUGGUUUGUUUUUCGUCUAAUUGGAAUUGAAGGUCUUCGCCACCGAGUGAGAGAAUACGUAAAAAUGGCAAAACUGUUUGAAUCUUUCGUCAAGACCGACGAUCGGUUUGAAGUUGUUUUCCCGGUGGAAUUGGGAGUCGUUUGUUUUCGAAUUGAUAAUUUACAAAUACGAUACAAAGAAAAGUAACAUGAUCAACAGACAACUGCUCAAACAUAUCAAUGAUUCAAAAGAUAUCUUCUUGAUUUCUUCAGAAGUUGAAGGAAUUUAUUUUCUUCGAGUAGCUACCGGUGUUACUGCGUGUAACGAAAAUGCCAUCAGAAAUUGCUGGAAUGCCAUUCUGAAACAUGCCACUUCAGUCUUGUCAACAUAGUUCGACAUUUAUAUGAAAGAAACGACUGCAUUUAUCAAAUAUAUAUUCAAGAAUUGUAGAAAUUCGCAUAUGUAGCAGG